UUACCACUCUGGCCUUUUGGCUUAGAUCAAGUGUAGUAUGACAGAACUAGAUGUGCUUGAACCCAUAAGUUGGACGUUGAUCGAAUGUUUGGCGGAGACUUGCCUUAAAUGGAAAGGGACAAUCGGUCAUGUGACUGUUAUCUUAUCUUAUCUUAAUAGUUUAACCGCUAUCAUGAGGGCACCGCCCUCAUUCUUUGGUUAUCAAAUUUUUGACGCCCUUGAUCCCUGCGAGCUCUGCUUGCAACUCCAGGGACGUGAUGACCUUGCCACUGCAGUACCGGCUCGUGUCAUCGGGGGAUC
rnacentral:snRNA from 1 species